rnacentral:misc_RNA from 1 species
GAAAUGCGAUAAGUAAUGUGAAUUGCAGAAUUCAGUGAAUCAUCGAAUCUUUGAACGCACAUUGCGCCAGCCAGUAUUCUGGCGGGCAUGCCUGUCCGAGCGUCAUUUCAACCAUCAAGCCCCCGGGCUUGUGUUGGGGACCUGCGGCUGCCCGCAGGCCCUGAAAACCAGUGGCGGGCUCGCUGUCACACCGAGCGUAGUAGCAAUCACCUCGCUCAGGGCGUGCUGCGGGUUCCGGCCGUUAAACAGCCUUACAAAACCCAAGGUUGACCUCGGAUCAGGUAGGAAGACCCGCUGAACUUAAGC